rnacentral:tRNA from 1 species
GGAUGAAUAGCUCAAUGGUAGAGCGGUAGCUUGUUAAGCUGAUGGUUGAAAGUUCGAGCCUUUCUUCAUCCU